rnacentral:rRNA from 1 species
GGACGAACGCUGGCGGCGUGCCUAAUACAUGCAAGUCGAACGGUCUUUCUAUGGAAGCUUGCUUCCACUGAGAAGAUAGUGGCGAACGGGUGAGUAACACGUGGGUAACCUGCCCAUAAGAGGGGGGAUAACAUCCGGAAACGGGUGCUAAUACCGCAUAGUUUUCUUGAUCGCAUGAUCGGGAAAGGAAAGACGGCCUUUGUGCUGUCGCUUAUGGAUGGACCCGCGGCGUAUUAGUUAGUUGGUGAGGUAACGGCUCACCAAGACGAUGAUACGUAGCCGACCUGAGAGGGUGAUCGGCCACAUUGGGACUGAGACACGGCCCAAACUCCUACGGGAGGCAGCAGUAGGGAAUCUUCCGCAAUGGACGAAAGUCUGACGGAGCAACGCCGCGUGAGUGAAGAAAAGGUUUUCGGAUCGUAAAACUCUGUUGUCAGAGAAGAACAAGUUGGAGAGUAACUGCUCCAGCCUUGACGGUAUCUGACCAGAAAGCCACGGCUAACUACGUGCCAGCCGCAGC